rnacentral:rRNA from 1 species
AUACGGAGGAUCCGAGCGUUAUCCGGAUUUAUUGGGUUUAAAGGGUGCGCAGGCGGGAGAUUAAGUCGGCGGUGAAAUUUUGCAGCUCAACUGUAAAAGUGCCUUCGAUACUGGUUUCCUUGAGUGUGGAUGAAGUAGGCGGAAUUUGUGGUGUAGCGGUGAAAUGCUUAGAUAUCACGAGGAACUCCGAUUGCGCAGGCAGCUUACUAAACCACUACUGACGCUCAGGCACGAAGGCGUGGGGAUCAAACAGGAUUAGAUACCCUGGUAGUCCACGCAGUAAACGAUGAUUACUGGCUGUUUGCGAUACAAUGUAAGCGGCUGAGCGAAAGCGUUAAGUAAUCCACCUGGGGAGCACGUUCGCAAGAAUGAAACUCAAAUGAAUUGACGGGG